CCCGCACAAGCGGAGGAGCAUGUGGUUUAAUUCGAUGAUACGCGAGGAACCUUACCAAGGCUUAAAUGUAAGACGACAGUCCCGGAAACGGGAUUUUCCUUCGGGACGUCAUACAAGGUGCUGCAUGGUUGUCGUCAGCUCGUGCCGUGAGGUGUCGGGUUAAGUCCCAUAACGAGCGCAACCCCUAUUCUUAGUUGCCAUCAGGUAAUGCUGGGGACUCUAAGAAAACUGCCUACGCAAGUAGUGAGGAAGGUGGGGAUGACGUCAAAUCAGCACGGCCCUUAUGCCUUGGGCUACACACGUGCUACAAUGGUCGGUACAGAGGGCAGCUACCUGGUGACAGGAUGCUAAUCUCGAAAACCGUUCUCAGUUCGGAUCGAAGUCUGCAACUCGACUUCGUGAAGUUGGAUUCGCUAGUAAUCGCGUAUCAGCAAUGACGCGGUGAAUACGUUCCCGGGCCUUGUACACACCGCCCGUCAAGCCAUGGAAGCUGGGAGUGCCUGAAGUCCGUAACCGUAAGGAGCGGCCUAGGGUAAAACUAGUGACUGGGGCUAAGUCGUAACAAGGUA
rnacentral:rRNA from 1 species